AAUUUUGGUCAAUGGGGGCAACCCUGAUCCAGCCAUCCCGCGUGUGCGAUGAAGGCCNNNGGGUUNUCAAGCACUUUUGGCAGNGACNAAAAGGCUCUGGCCAAUACCUGGAGCCGCUUACGGUACCUGCAGAACAAGCCCCGGCUAACUACGUGCCAGCAGCCGCGGUAAUACGUAGGGUGCAAGCGUUAAUCGGAAUUACUGGGCGUAAAGCGUGCGCAGGCGGUUCGGCAAGAAGGAUGUGAAAUCCCAGGGCUUAACCUUGGAACUGCAUUCUUAACUGCCGGGCUGGAGGAUGUCAGAGGGGGGGAGAAUUCCGCGUGUAGCAGGGAAAUGCGUAGAGAUGCGGAGGAAUACCGAUGGCGAAGGCAGCCCCCUGGGAUAAUACUGACGCUCAUGCACGAAAGCGUGGGGAGCAAAC
rnacentral:rRNA from 1 species